rnacentral:rRNA from 1 species
UACGUAGGGUGCAAGCGUUGUCCGGAUUUAUUGGGCGUAAAGAGCUCGUAGGCGGUUUGUCGCGUCGGAUGUGAAAACCCAGGGCUCAACCCUGGGCCUGCAUUCGAUACGGGCAGACUAGAGUAUGGCAGGGGAGACUGGAAUUCCUGGUGUAGCGGUGAAAUGCGCAGAUAUCAGGGAGGAAACACCGGUGGCGAAGGCGGGUCUCUGGGCCAAA